AUGAACGCUAGCGGCAACGGCUUAACACAUGCAAGUCGAGGGGUAUAGUUCUUCGGAACUAGAGACCGGCGCACGGGUGCGUAACGCGUAUGCAAUCUACCUUUUGCANAGGGAUAGCCCAGAGAAAUUUGGAUUAAUACCUCAUAGUAUGUGAGAAUGGCAUCAUUUUCACAUUAAAGUCACAACGGCAAAAGAUGAGCAUGCGUCCCAUUAGCUAGUUGGUAAGGUAACGGCUUACCAAGGCGACGAUGGGUAGGGGUCCUGAGAGGGAGAUCCCCCACACUGGUACUGAGACACGGACCAGACUCCUACGGGAGGCAGCAGUGAGGAAUAUUGGACAAUGGGCGCAAGCCUGAUCCAGCCAUGCCGCGUGCAGGAUGAAGCAUCUAUGGUGUGUAAACUGCUUUUGUACGAGAAGAAACACUCCUUCGUGAAGGGGCUUGACGGUAUCGUAAGAAUAAGGAUCGGCUAACUCCGUG
rnacentral:rRNA from 1 species